CGAAGGCGAGGCCAUUUGGUGUAGUGAGAACAGCCGGGAUGACAACAGGAGGGUCAGCAAGUCUGACUGUGAGUUUCUGCUCCCUGACCUGCCAGGGGACACAUGUCCUCUCUGAACAUCAGUUUCCUCAUCUGAGAAAUGGGGGGAUCCACGUCCUAGCGAGCAUUCGUUCAUCCCACUGAGCUGCUUCAGCACCUACUCUGUGUCAGUCUCGGAGGAUGUAAAGGCAGCAACCCUUUGUCAGCAAACUCAUCCUUCCAGACUCUCAGUGAAAACACCCCUGACUCGUGACACAGCUCUCUGAGUUCUGCUCCAGCCAGAAGAAGCCUGGGGAGCUGGUCUUGGAUUCAAGGGAGGGAUUUUGGAGCAUUUUGACAGAAUUCAGCUGAGUGAAAGCCAGAGUUCUUAUAAAGGCCUGUAAGACCCUGUACAUUCCAGACUACCCCUGCCCCCACCACCUCUUUGACCCUUUCUUCCACUGCUCUUUCCUUUGCCAGCUCUGCUUCAGAUACCCUGGUCUCAUCAUCAUUUCUUAAAUAUGACCUCCUCUCCCAUAUCCCUACCCCAGGCCCUUUGCAUUUGCUGUUCACCAGUAUCCUUUUUUCCUCCUUUAUCUGUAAUGGCUCCUUUGUUCAUCUUUAUCUUCAUCAGAUUUUGCUCAAAUAUCACUUUCUCAGGAAGGUCCAUCCAAACACCCUAUUUAAAAUUUGCAAACCCCAUCUCACGCCCUUCCCUGCUUUUUCUCCAUAGCACUACCAUCUUCAAGAGCUUGUAUGAUUCACCUAUUUAUUUGUUUACUGUCUGUCUUUCCACAUGAAACUGUGAGUUCCAAGAGCACAGGGAUUUGGGUCUUCCUGAUUCACUCUGUAUCCCCAGCA